rnacentral:tRNA from 2 species
UGCCCCUGUAGCCCAAUUGGUAAGAGGCGCUUCGCUUAAAACGAGGAGGAUGUUGAUUCAAAUUCAACCAGGGGUAU